GAUGAACGCUGGCGGCGUGCCUAAUACAUGCAAGUCGAGCGAACAGACGAGGAGCUUGCUCCUCUGACGUUAGCGGCGGACGGGUGAGUAACACGUGGAUAACCUACCUAUAAGACUGGGAUAACUUCGGGAAACCGGAGCUAAUACCGGAUAACAUGUUGAACCGCAUGGUUUAACAGUGAAAGACGGUCUUGCUGUCACUUAUAGAUGGAUCCGCGCCGCAUUAGCUAGUUGGUAAGGUAACGGCUUACCAAGGCAACGAUGCGUAGCCGACCUGAGAGGGUGAUCGGCCACACUGGAACUGAGACACGGUCUAGACUCCUACGGGAGGCAGCAGUAGGGAAUCUUCCGCAAUGGGCGAAAGCCUGACGGAGCAACGCCGCGUGAGUGAAGAAGGUCUUCGGAUCGUAAAACUCUGUUAUUAGGGAAGAACAAAUGUGUAAGUAACUAUGCACGUCUUGACGGUACCUAAUCAGAAAGCCACGGCUAACUACGUG
rnacentral:rRNA from 1 species